CAAUUAAACCACCAAUUGUUCGCCAAACAACUACGAGUAAUAACUUAAAACUUAAAAGACUUGACGGUGCUUCAUCACAACCUAGAGGAGCCUGUCUAACAACCGACAACCCACGAUUAACCCAACCCUUUCUUGCCAACAGUCUAUAUACCGCCGUCGCCAGCUUACCUUGUAAAAGAAAUAUAGUGAGCUAAAUAGUACUGCACUAAAACGACAGGUCGAGGUGUAACCAAUGAAAAGGAUCAAGAUGGGCUACAUUCUCCUGACCCGAGAAUACGAAUAACACUAUGAAAAUUAGUGCUUGAAGGCGGAUUUAGCAGUAAGAUAAGAAUAAAANACUUAACUGAANAUAUAGCAAUGAAGUGCGUNCACACCGCCCGUCAUCCCUGCC
rnacentral:rRNA from 1 species